GAUGAACGCUGGCGGCGUGCCUAAUACAUGCAAGUCGAGCGAACGGACGAGAAGCUUGCUUCUCUGAUGUUAGCGGCGGACGGGUGAGUAACACGUGGAUAACCUACCUAUAAGACUGGGAUAACUUCGGGAAACCGGAGCUAAUACCGGAUAAUAUUUUGAACCGCAUGGUUCAAAAGUGAAAGACGGUCUUGCUGUCACUUAUAGAUGGAUCCGCGCUGCAUUAGCUAGUUGGUAAGGUAACGGCUUACCAAGGCAACGAUGCAUAGCCGACCUGAGAGGGUGAUCGGCCACACUGGAACUGAGACACGGUCCAGACUCCUACGGGAGGCAGCAGUAGGGAAUCUUCCGCAAUGGGCGAAAGCCUGACGGAGCAACGCCGCGUGAGUGAUGAAGGUCUUCGGAUCGUAAAACUCUGUUAUUAGGGAAGAACAUAUGUGUAAGUAACUGUGCACAUCUUGACGGUACCUAAUCAGAAAGCCACGGCUAACUACGUGCCAGCAGCCGCGGUAAUACGUAGGUGGCAAGCGUUAUCCGGAAUUAUUGGGCGUAAAGCGCGCGUAGGCGGUUUUUUAAGUCUGAUGUGAAAGCCCACGGCUCAACCGUGGAGGGUCAUUGGAAACUGGAAAACUUGAGUGCAGAAGAGGAAAGUGGAAUUCCAUGUGUAGCGGUGAAAUGCGCAGAGAUAUGGAGGAACACCAGUGGCGAAGGCGACUUUCUGGUCUGUAACUGACGCUGAUGUGCGAAAGCGUGGGGAUCAAACAGGAUUAGAUACCCUGGUAGUCCACGCCGUAAACGAUGAGUGCUAAGUGUUAGGGGGUUUCCGCCCCUUAGUGCUGCAGCUAACGCAUUAAGCACUCCGCCUGGGGAGUACGACCGCAAGGUUGAAACUCAAAGGAAUUGACGGGGACCCGCACAAGCGGUGGAGCAUGUGGUUUAAUUCGAAGCAACGCGAAGAACCUUACCAAAUCUUGACAUCCUUUGACAACUCUAGAGAUAGAGCUUUCCCCUUCGGGGGACAAAGUGACAGGUGGUGCAUGGUUGUCGUCAGCUCGUGUCGUGAGAUGUUGGGUUAAGUCCCGCAACGAGCGCAACCCUUAAGCUUAGUUGCCAUCAUUAAGUUGGGCACUCUAAGUUGGCUGCCGGUGACAAACCGGAGGAAGGUGGGGAUGACGUCAAAUCAUCAUGCCCCUUAUGAUUUGGGCUACACACGUGCUACAAUGGACAAUACAAAGGGCAGCGAAACCGCGAGGUCAAGCAAAUCCCAUAAAGUUGUUCUCAGUUCGGAUUGUAGUCUGCAACUCGACUACAUGAAGCUGGAAUCGCUAGUAAUCGUAGAUCAGCAUGCUACGGUGAAUACGUUCCCGGGUCU
rnacentral:rRNA from 1 species